AGAUGAAGACCCGCCCUCACCCCACCCCACCCUCGCGGCCUGGGAACUGGCAGGGCACCCUGGAUGGUGACCCAGAAACCUGGCUGUCGGCAGCUCCCGCCUGGCACUGCCCACAUCGAGCUCCCUGGCUUCCCACGGGAGUCCAUGGCAGCUGUCUGCAGGCAGAGGACACAGUCCCACUUGGAAAGCAGUUAAGGAAGAGAGACGAGAGAAACAGAAGUCAAGGACUGCGAGAAUCUCCUGCAGCCCCGGGGCCUGUUCCCAAACGAGUGUGACCUGGGCGGGCACAGGUGGCUGAAGCCACACGACUUGAGUCCCCAAGUCCUACAGCUGGUUAAUGAACUGUCAUGGACAUCCAAUCUCCAUGGGCAUGUGGCCUGGGGAGAUCAAGCCAGCCCAGGGCCUCAAACCAGACUCCAGAGCACAGCCCAGCCCCCAGGGGACGG
rnacentral:lncRNA from 1 species